rnacentral:lncRNA from 1 species
UUGCAGGUUUCAAAUGUGCUUUCUGUGAGAAAGUCAAGAAGGUGCCACUCCCAGCCAAGGAUAAUCCUAAUCCCUGACUUCAGCUUCUUGCUAUCUACACCAUCUGUAAAGGUUACCUAUCCUUAGACAUGUUAGGAUUUUAGCCAUUGACAGAUGUAUUUUCAAACCAAGGCAUGCUCUGUCAGAAGACUACAAAAAUAUUACUGCUUCAGGGUAAUAGUCCUUCCUUUUAUAUAAAUGCACAAAUACAUGCAUGUGUGUGUGUGCACAUAUGCAUUUGAAGAUAAGUAUUUACCUGCUCCUGUUGUACGUCCUCGACUCCAAUCACUAUAUACUGAACCUCCUUCAUGCGAGGCUAUCACUCGAUACAGGAACCAUAUCAGUAACCAUAUGAUAUUUAAAAUCUUGAGAUCAAUUGUGUCGAGUAAAACAAAUUAAAUCAUGCCAGAUAAAAAUUAUGAAUUUUUCCAUAAAAGCAUCAUCUUCAGGAAGGACCUCAGGAGGGUGUUCUGCCAUCAUCACGUUAUGAAAAGCAUUUGAAAGAAAUGCUGACUGUUGUUGUUGACAAGGAGGAGGGGAUCCUUCCUGAGGAUGGUAUAACUUCGCGGGAGCCCUCCCAGAAAGACUCCUGUGUUAUCUCCAAUAACAGUACUACCAUUCAGGAUGGCAGAGGAACCUAGAGAAGAGGAGAUGAGAAAUACACCUUCACCAGGAUACUCUAGUUUUACUAGCUCAGCAAAUAAUAAAAUCCUUCACCAGCCUUUGGGAUACCAC